ensembl:lncRNA
GUUUGUGCUUCCCGCCGUGGAAGGUUUUGAGUGCGGUCACUUGAUUUAGUCCCAAUGGUUAGCAUAGAACGUUGUAGUCUUGACCCCCAUUAGAAGCCACCUGGCAGUUAGUUGGACAGGAAUCUGUCUGAACGUUCUGGAUUGUAUUUGCGUAACCUUGAGCCGUUGCCAACGGAAACUAUUUUUCAGUUGUUUCCAUUGGGAAUUGUUGGCCCUUAUCUUAAACAACUUAGUUUGUAUUUAAUAUCAAACUUGACACGUACAUCGUACAAUAUGUUGAUAAUUUUCGAUGGUUGCGCCGUACUUUUAUCCACGUUGACGGGACUCUCGCUGCGUACAAAGCGGCGUUCUACUUGCGGGCCCAUUUCUGACAUCAGUGAAGGCUGAAAAUCAUUUCACGGUGGAAGACAAUUUGACAUUUCUUCAACGGAAUCCAGCACCUGAAUAUGAAUGGGUGUCCACCUCCUCACCCAGAGCCAGACCUCCACCUCCUGUCACAAGUCCUCCAGAACAGCUGAAAGGCGAGGCUGAGAGGCUGGGGCCCGGAGGCUUGUGGUGCCAGGAUGGACCGGAGACUGAGGCUGGAGACCACGGGCCCGCAGCACCGGAUCAGAGGACCAGGAAUCCAUGGCUGAAGGAGCUAAUGGAGGAGCCAUGCUGAAGGCCCUGCCUGGUGGAGGAGCUGACGGAGGCCCUGCCUGGUGGAGGAUGUCUGUCGUGGGACCAGGACUCUGUCUGAGGAGAGCUGAUGGUGGAGCUGAGACGCUGGAGGACGACUAGGAAUCGACCGACGAGGAUUCCUCAAUGUGUUUAUGGAGCGGAGGCGAGCUGGUAGGGGAGCCAUGAAUCUGGAGGAUGACCAUCACUUUACCAACAAGGAUUGUAAGUUUGUAUUAACCAAACAAAGUGGAAAUAAAGGGCUUAAAAAUAAGACAAACUACAUGUUUGUUACCAGGCGUUGGGGCCAGACUUGCGCUGUUUGUUCCAGACCAGGACUCUGGCUGAGGAGAGCUGAUGGAGGAGCCAAGACUCUGGAGGACGACAUCACUCCACCAACCAGGAUCCUCACCAGGAAUCUGGAGGACUGACGGGAGAAACCGUACAUCUGGAAGGCAAAUCCUGAGGGCGACCAGGACUCUACCAUCAAGGAUUCCUUACACAGCUGAGCUGAACUUCACCUGAUCCUGUCUGGGCGGGGGCAGACACACCUGAGCUGACCCCCACCUGAUCCGGACAUCCUGCUGGUCCUGUCUCCUCAGUUCAUCUGAGCGUCUUCCUCCAGAAGACCUGCUGAGCUCAGCGGUCUGAGGCUGAUGGAUCAAUGACCUCCUGUGGAAGUGAUCUUCUUGACCCCACAUGUACCCGUGUGCUUCCACACGCCUUUCCCUCAAGUCUGUCACUAACCUCACUACUUCACUACUCUCUACUCCUUCCCCUUCUUCUUCCUUCUCCGUGGUUCGAACCGUUACUCUGAAGGAGUGUCUCCUUGAACCUUUACACUGAAGGAGCGUCUUCCUGCCCUCAGAGGGUUCAGCGUUAGGGUUUAGAGUCAGGGUUUAGAGUCAGGGACAGGGCUGGUCAGGGAGGACUGCUUUUACACAAACCUCUUCACUUGCUUUCUGAAUGGUGACAUUUUGAAAAGAUUCAUCUGGGAAAAUGUUUU